GGGCGUGUGGCUCAGUUGGUAGAGCGCCCGCUUAGCAUGUUUCUGUCCUUGCGGAAGGUCCCCGGUUCGAUUCCGGGCUCGUCCA